CCUACGGGUGGCAGCAGUGGGGAAUAUUGCACAAUGGGGGAAACCCUGAUGCAGCGACGCCGCGUGAGCGAUGAAGUAUUUCGGUAUGUAAAGCUCUAUCAGCAGGGAAGAAAAUGACGGUACCUGACUAAGAAGCCCCGGCUACCGACGUGCCAGCAGCCGCGGUAAUACGUAGGGGGCAAGCGUGAUCCGGAUUUACUGGGUGUAAGGGGAGCGUAGACGGCUGUGCAAGCCAGCUGGCCCAGCCCGGGGCUCAACCCCGGGACUGCAUUUGGAACUGUGGGGCUGGCGUGUCGGAGAGGCAGGCGGAAUUCCUAGUGUAGCGGUGAAAUGCGUAGAUAUUAGGAGGAACACCCGUGGCGACGGCGGCCUGCUGGACGAUGACUGACGUUGAGGCUCGAAAGCGUGGGGAGCAAACAGGAUUAGAUACCCUUGUAGUC
rnacentral:rRNA from 1 species